GCACUGCUGAUGAGACCCAACCCAGGUCGAAACAGCUGUCCAGUGC
rnacentral:hammerhead_ribozyme from 1 species